AUUGAACGCUGGCGGCAUGCCUUACACAUGCAAGUCGAACGGCAGCACGGGAGCAAUCCUGGUGGCGAGUGGCGAACGGGUGAGUAGUACAUCGGAACGUGCCUAGUAGUGGGAGAUAGCCCGGCGAAAGCCGGAUUAAUACCGCAUACGACCUGAGGGUGAAAGCGGGGGAUCGCAAGACCUCGCGCUAUCAGAGCGGCCGAUGCCAGAUUAGGUAGUUGGUGGGGUAAAAGCCUACCAAGCCGACGAUCUGUAGCUGGUCUGAGGGGACGACCAGCCACACUGGGACUGAGCCACGGCCCAGACUACUACGGGAGGCGGCAGUGGGGAAUUUUGGACAAUGGGCGCAAGCCUGAGCCAGCCAUACCGCGUGCAGGAAGAAGGCCUUCGUGUUGUAAACUGCUUUUGUCAGGGAAGAAAAGUUCUGGGCUAAUACCCCGGAGCGAUGACGGUACCUGAAGAAUAAGCACCGGCUAACUACGUGCCAGCCGCCGCGGUAA
rnacentral:rRNA from 1 species